rnacentral:rRNA from 1 species
UACGUAGGGUGCAGGCGUUAAUCGGAAUUACUGGGCGUAAAGCGUGCGCAGGCGGUUUCUUAAGUCAGACGUGAAAUCCCCCGGCUUAACCUGGGAACUGCGUCUGAUACUGGAGGGCUUGAGUAUGGGAGAGGGAUGUAGAAUUCCAGGUGUAGCGGUGAAAUGCGCAGAUAUCAGGAAGAACACCAAUGGCGAAGGCAGCUCUCUGGGACGGUACUGACGCUGAGAGCGAAAGCGUGGGGAGCGAACAGG